rnacentral:rRNA from 1 species
CUCAGAUUGAACGCUGGCGGCAGGCCUAACACAUGCAAGUCGAACGGUAACAGGAAGCAGCUUGCUGCUUUGCUGACGAGUGGCGGACGGGUGAGUAAUGUCUGGGAAACUGCCUGAUGGAGGGGGAUAACUACUGGAAACGGUGGCUAAUACCGCAUAACGUCGCAAGACCAAAGAGGGGGACCUUCGGGCCUCUUGCCAUCAGAUGUGCCCAGAUGGGAUUAGCUUGUUGGUGAGGUAACGGCUCACCAAGGCGACGAUCCCUAGCUGGUCUGAGAGGAUGACCAGCCACACUGGAACUGAGACACGGUCCAGACUCCUACGGGAGGCAGCAGUGGGGAAUAUUGCACAAUGGGCGCAAGCCUGAUGCAGCCAUGCCGCGUGUAUGAAGAAGGCCUUCGGGUUGUAAAGUACUUUCAGCGGGGAGGAAGGUGUUGUGGUUAAUAACCGCAGCAAUUGACGUUACCCGCAGAAGAAGCACCGGCUAACUCCGUGCCAGCAGCCGCGGUAAUACGGAGGGUGCAAGCGUUAAUCGGAAUUACUGGGCGUAAAGCGCACGCAGGCGGUCUGUCAAGUCGGAUGUGAAAUCCCCGGGCUCAACCUGGGAACUGCAUUCGAAACUGGCAGGCUUGAGUCUUGUAGAGGGGGGUAGAAUUCCAGGUGUAGCGGUGAAAUGCGUAGAGAUCUGGAGGAAUACCGGUGGCGAAGGCGGCCCCCUGGACAAAGACUGACGCUCAGGUGCGAAAGCGUGGGGAGCAAACAGGAUAAGAUACCCUGGUAGUCCACGCCGUAAACGAUGUCUACUUGGAGGUUGUGCCCAUGAGGCGUGGCUUCCGGAGCUAACGCGUUAAGUAGACCGCCUGGGGAAUACGGCCGCAAGGUUAAAACUCAAAUGAAUUGACGGGGGCCCGCACAAGCGGUGGAGCAUGUGGUUUAAUUCGAUGCAACGCGAAGAACCUUACCUGGUCUUGACAUCCACAGAACUUUCCAGAGAUGGAUUGGUGCCUUCGGGAACUGUGAGACAGGUGCUGCAUGGCUGUCGUCAGCUCGUGUUGUGAAAUGUUGGGUUAAGUCCCGCAACGAGCGCAACCCUUAUCCUUUGUUGCCAGCGGUCCGGCCGGGAACUCAAAGGAGACUGCCAGUGAUAAACUGGAGGAAGGUGGGGAUGACGUCAAGUC